rnacentral:rRNA from 1 species
AGCGGCGGACGGGUGAGUAAUGCCUAGGAAUCUGCCUGGUAGUGGGGGAUAACGUUCGGAAACGGACGCUAAUACCGCAUACGUCCUACGGGAGAAAGCAGGGGACCUUCGGGCCUUGCGCUAUCAGAUGAGCCUAGGUCGGAUUAGCUAGUUGGUGAGGUAAUGGCUCACCAAGGCGACGAUCCGUAACUGGUCUGAGAGGAUGAUCAGUCACACUGGAACUGAGACACGGUCCAGACUCCUACGGGAGGCAGCAGUGGGGAAUAUUGGACAAUGGGCGAAAGCCUGAUCCAGCCAUGCCGCGUGUGUGAAGAAGGUCUUCGGAUUGUAAAGCACUUUAAGUUGGGAGGAAGGGCAGUAAAUUAAUACUUUGCUGUUUUGACGUUACCGACAGAAUAAGCACCGGCUAACUCUGUGCCAGCAGCCGCGGUAAUACAGAGGGUGCAAGCGUUAAUCGGAAUUACUGGGCGUAAAGCGCGCGUAGGUGGUUUGUUAAGUUGGAUGU